GGGACACGUGGUAUCCUGUCUGAAUAUGGGGGGACCAUCCUCCAAGGCUAAAUACUCCUGACUGACCGAUAGUGAACCAGUACCGUGAGGGAAAGGCGAAAAGAACCCCGGCGAGGGGAGUGAAAAAGAACCUGAAACCGUGUACGUACAAGCAGUGGGAGCACGCUUAGGCGUGUGACUGCGUACCUUUUGUAUAAUGGGUCAGCGACUUAUAUUCUGUAGCAAGGUUAACCGAAUAGGGGAGCCGAAGGGAAACCGAGUCUUAACUGGGCGUUAAGUUGCAGGGUAUAGACCCGAAACCCGGUGAUCUAGCCAUGGGCAGGUUGAAGGUUGGGUAACACUAACUGGAGGACCGAACCGACUAAUGUUGAAAAAUUAGCGGAUGACUUGUGGCUGGGGGUGAAAGGCCAAUCAAACCGGGAGAUAGCUGGUUCUCCCCGAAAGCUAUUUAGGUAGCGCCUCGUGAAUUCAUCUCCGGGGGUAGAGCACUGUUUCGGCAAGGGGGUCAUCCCGACUUACCAACCCGAUGCAAACUGCGAAUACCGGAGAAUGUUAUCACGGGAGACACACGGCGGGUGCUAACGUCCGUCGUGAAGAGGGAAACAACCCAGACCGCCAGCUAAGGUCCCAAAGUCAUGGUUAAGUGGGAAACGAUGUGGGAAGGCCCAGACAGCCAGGAUGUUGGCUUAGAAGCAGCCAUCAUUUAAAGAAAGCGUAAUAGCUCACUGGUCGAGUCGGCCUGCGCGGAAGAUGUAACGGGGCUAAACCAUGCACCGAAGCUGCGGCAGCGACACUGUGUGUUGUUGGGUAGGGGAGCGUUCUGUAAGCCUGUGAAGGUGUGCUGUGAGGCAUGCUGGAGGUAUCAGAAGUGCGAAUGCUGACAUAAGUAACGAUAAAGCGGGUGAAAAGCCCGCUCGCCGGAAGACCAAGGGUUCCUGUCCAACGUUAAUCGGGGCAGGGUGAGUCGACCCCUAAGGCGAGGCCGAAAGGCGUAGUCGAUGGGAAACAGGUUAAUAUUCCUGUACUUGGUGUUACUGCGAAGGGGGGACGGAGAAGGCUAUGUUGGCCGGGCGACGGUUGUCCCGGUUUAAGCGUGUAGGCUGGUUUUCCAGGCAAAUCCGGAAAAUCAAGGCUGAGGCGUGAUGACGAGGCACUACGGUGCUGAAGCAACAAAUGCCCUGCUUCCAGGAAAAGCCUCUAAGCAUCAGGUAACAUCAAAUCGUACCCCAAACCGACACAGGUGGUCAGGUAGAGAAUACCAAGGCGCUUGAGAGAACUCGGGUGAAGGAACUAGGCAAAAUGGUGCCGUAACUUCGGGAGAAGG
rnacentral:rRNA from 1 species